rnacentral:rRNA from 1 species
AGAGUUUGAUCCUGGCUCAGGACGAACGCUGGCGGUGUGCUUCACACAUGCAAGUCGAACGAGGUAGCAAUACCUAGUGGCGGACGGGUGAGUAACGCGUGGGAAUCUGCCCAAGGGUGGGGGAUAACUAGCCGAAAGGUUAGCUAAUACCGCAUAUGCCGUGAGGUAAAAGGAGUAAUCCGCCCCUGGAUGAGCCUGCGUCCGAUUAGCUAGUUGGUAGGGUAAAGGCCUACCAAGGCUACGAUCGGUAGCUGGUCUGAGAGGAUGAUCAGCCACAAUGGGACUGAGACACGGCCCAUACUCCUACGGGAGGCAGCAGUGGGGAAUUUUACGCAAUGGGGGAAACCCUGACGUAGCGACACCGCGUGAGCGAAGAAGCCCUUUGGGGUGUAAAGCUCUGUCAGCAGGAACGAACAAAAUGACGGUACCUGCAGAGGAAGCAUCGGCUAACUACGUGCCAGCAGCCGCGGUAAGACGUAGGAUGCAAGCGUUGUCCGGAUUCAUUGGGCGUAAAGAGUUCGUAGGCGGUUUGUUAAGUCUGAUGUUAAAGAUCGGGGCCUAACCCUGGGAGUGCAUUGGAUACUGGCAGACUGGAGUACAGUAGAGGCGAGUGGAAUUCCCAGUGUAGCGGUGAAAUGCGUAGA